rnacentral:rRNA from 1 species
UACAGAGGGUGCGAGCGUUAAUCGGAAUUACUGGGCGUAAAGGGCGCGUAGGUGGAUGACUAAGUCGGAUGUGAAAGCCCCGGGCUUAACCUGGGAAUGGCAUACGAUACUGGUUAUCUAGAGUUGGUUAGAGGGGAGUGGAAUUUCCGGUGUAGCGGUGAAAUGCGUAGAUAUCGGAAGGAACAUCAGUGGCGAAGGCGGCUCCCUGGAACUAAACUGACACUGAGGCGCGAAAGCGUGGGUAGCAAACAGG